UCCCCUAUGGCGUAGUGGUAGCGCGUCGCACUUGUAUACUUUACAGGCGAAAUGCGAAGGUCUCUCGUUCGAUCCGGGAUGGGGGAA